GCAGUCGAACGAUCCUUGAGAAGCUUGCUUUUCAAGGAGAGUGGCGAACGGGUGAGUAACACGUGAGUAAUCUGCCCUCGAGUGGGGGACAACCUCGCGAAAGCGGGGCUAAUACCGCAUAAAACUCUGCAGCAUAAGCUGUUUGAGUCAAAGCCUUCGGGUGCUUGAGGAUGAGCUUGCGUCCUAUUAGCUAGUUGGUAGGGUAAUGGCCUACCAAGGUUACGAUGGGUAGCCGGCCUGAGAGGGUGACCGGCCACACUGGGACUGCGACACGGCCCAGACUCCUACGGGAGGCAGCAGUAGGGAAUUUUGCGCAAUGGGCGAAAGCCUGACGCAGCGACGCCGCGUGGAGGAUGACGGCCUUCGGGUUGUAAACUCCUGUCAGAGGUGAAGAAUGCCCCUUUCGGGGGGUUUGACGGUAACCUCAGAGGAAGCCCCGGCUAACUACGUGCCAGCAGCCGCGGUAAUACGUAGGGGGCAAACGUUGCUCGGAAUUACUGGGCGUAAAGGGUGUGUAGGUGGCUGAGCAAGUCGACGAUGAAAUCCCGAGGCUUAACUUCGGAAUUGUCUUCGAAAACUGCUCAGCUUGAGGAUAGUUGA
rnacentral:rRNA from 1 species